rnacentral:rRNA from 1 species
CACGUAGGGCGCGAGCGUGUCCGGAAUUAUUGGGCGUAAAGAGCUCGUAGGCGGCUUGUCACGUCGGUUGUGAAAGCCCCGGGGCUAACCCCGGGUCUGCAGUCGAUACGGGCAGGCUAGAGUGUGGUAGGGGAGAUCGGAAUUCCUGGUGUAGCGGUGAAAUGCGCAGAUAUCAGGAGGAACACCGGUGGCGAAGGCGGAUCUCUGGGCCAUUACUGACGCUGAGGAGCGAAAGCGUGGGGAGCGAACAGG